rnacentral:lncRNA from 11 species
ACUGCUCUCUUGCUCUUCCCCCUUUCAGAGCUCUCUUAUGUUUACCUUCUUCAAAGCAGCUGUGGGUCAUUCCUUACUGUGCAAUUUGUCUGCCAUUUGAGCUGCUGUUCUGAGACCUAGCUGCUAUUAGUUUUUCCUGUCAUCCACCUGACUCGAGAAGAUGCCUAAACAUCUAUCAAUGCAACUGGACAUUUUUUAGUUAAUGGCAAAAAAGUAAAAGCCAAAUAUUGAAGACCAAGAAGACAGCAGGUUGAGAACCAUUGCAGUAGCUGGUACAUAUAAAGACCCCAGAACAUGCACACCUGAAUUGCCGAUGUAAACUGUCUACCACUAUUCAUCUAAUCCAGGUGCUGCCAAAGAAACCAUGGAACAGGAGCAAAGAAAAGAAGCUGUGUCAUUGUUAGACCUUGAACUUUAUAUGAACAAGACUGUUUCUGAUGACCAAGUGAAAGCCCAAUUAGUGCAAAAUCCACAGACUCCAUUUCAAGUAUAUAUAUUUCCUGUGGAUAAGAAGAGGCAUAUAAGUUUUCAACCCAAAUGGUUCAGAAGAUUUCCCUGGCUAACUUACUGAUUUCAUCUACAAGGCGCACUCUGGGGAUCCUACACAUCUUCUGCUCGGUGCAAUAUUUUAAAAAGAAAAGACCCAUGUGCGUAAGGUGUCAAAAUUACAAGUCUGAUCUAUUUUCAAUGAAGGAUGAAGAAUUUCAGAAUCUGGAGAACAAAGAAAAUGAACUCUUUGAGCCGAAUGGAAACUGGUUUAGAUAUUGAUUUUGAAAUAUGUUACAGUUUGUCUUUUUUGAUAAUCUAUUUGGCAUUCUAAGUUAUGAACACAGCAAUUCCCAGGAAUAUUUCUUUAAAUUGUCUACAUGUGUGUGCACACUCGCACACUCAUGGAACACACACCUGGCAAAUGUGUGGGGUUUUUUUUAAUAUAAAAGAUGCAUUUUAAAGAGGCUGUUUCUUCUUGCUCUUCUUCUAAAGAUCUCAAAAAGAAGAUACAAUUCUAGACCCCAGGUAGCAGAGACAUGCUGAAAGAUGACCAGCCUAGCCUUUACACACAGAUACACACACACACACAUUUCUCGCUUCCUGACACCCGGAGAAUAGCCUUAUCCCUUCUCGAAGAUUUCAUUGAGAACAAUUCACAUAGGAAAGGGGAAAGUAUGCAGGCAGGACUGAAAUAACUGGAUAUUCAAGCAGCAAAAAAGACAGGUGUGGUUUGGGAAUUUCUUGUCCUUGUGGCAGCUGUUAUUCAUGUCUAUGUUACCUUAAUAGGCUGAUUUUUUACUUUUAAUUAAUUAAAUAAUAUAUUUUAUUAUACAUAUAAAACUGGAAGCAGACAUCUUACAUGAAUUAUUCUGUCCAAUCCUGGAGGUAGCUCAGUUUCGUCAUAUAUUUAUACGUUUACUUAUUUGCAGGGCAAGGAGGAGCAUACUAGUAUGUUCUUCAAUAUAUUAUGUUAAUUUGCAUGCUCUAUAUCUAGCAAAUGCUGCUUCAAUUACAAGUUUAUAUGUCAUUUUAAAUACUAUAAGUUGUGUUUGUUCUGUUGAGUCCAUAAUAUUGCAAAUCCAGAUAAAGUUCUGUAAUUUUGAUCGUGCUGCUCUCAUAACAGCAAAAGCAACCUAAAGCACACAGUCCAAUAAUAAUCAUAAUUAUGAUUUGUUUGUUUUUGCUAAAUUCCUACUGUCAACUCAAGAGUUAAGAUGCAAGCUUCCAUUCAAUUGUAUUUAAAUCUGAUUAACUGUGGCUGGAUCAUUAUCAUAAUAAUGCCAAUGACGCUGUAUGUUUGAUGUGCUAUAUGAAACUGCAUUUUGGAAAACCAUAAAUGUGUAUAAACAAUUACACACAAUUAUGCACAGUAUCAGCAGAUACUGGCCUUGCAUAAGUAGAAGACAUUGGCCUAUAACUUUAUGUAUGUAAGAUUAAUAUUUUUGAAAUGAUUAAAAUUGUCUAUCAAUUUUAUCGUGCCUUUUUUAUGAAAUGGUAGAACAUACAAAAAUGUUAUUCUGCAUUUGAUACCUUUUAAAGCAACAUCAGGUUAUGUUUGACAUGCUGCAAUUAAUCUUUAUGGGUGUGAUAGUGCUUUAAAAGUAGAAAACUGGAGUCUGAAGCUUUUUAAAUACUAUUGGUGGCAAUAUGAGCAGCUUCUUUUCAAGCAAUCAAAAGAUAAAUUCAUUUUCUUUAUAAAUCUAUAUGAUCUCCAUAAAAUUGAAUGUUCCUAAGGACAAUUGUCUCAAAAUAAGGUGUUUUUCAAGAAAAAAAACUAUGAAUAAACUAAGAACUAAUUUACCUUGCUUUCCUGUUUAAUAUAAAAUGCCAUAUAUAUUUGAAGGAAGAAAAUUGCUUAAAUUUAGGGAAGAUUUGCCUCAGCAACUCUAGCAUUAUCAAAAUACUAUUAUCUGGGUCAUUUAUUAGCAUGGUGCUGUUAGUUCUCCUAGUUUAUUGAAUUUUGAGAAAGGAGACUUGAUUUUAUUAAAACUUGCAAAUUUUAUAUCAGGUAAGGGGUAUUUAUGAUGUCAACAUGUGCCAGUCAGUAUUAGUGUUUCAAAUCCCCUAAGAAAAGACAGAGGUGUGUCUAAACUUGCUUGCUAAUAUGGCCAACUUCUAGAAAACCAUAUUAUUAAAUACCAUUUAUGUCCUCAAGGUAAGCAUCAACUGAGAAAAAUAUCAUAUUGUUUAUGAUCUAUCUAAA